rnacentral:misc_RNA from 1 species
AUGUUUUCUAUGUCAUUACAUAGAAAAGGAGAUGCUUUAAGUUUUCAAAAAUUAUAUAAAAAGAAAAUCCAUAGCACAAAACUUAUGUUAGCAAUUUGUAAGCAGGAAUAAGGAUAGCACAUUGUCCUUUUCACAUGAAUUUGGACUUUCUAUCUGCAGGCUUAAGUAUUUGGAAAGAGCACAUUAAGGUUUCAUCAACACUCAUCAUUGCACCAGCAUUAUCAAAUUCACCGCAAUAGUUGGGAGCAGAAAAAAUUGUAACAAGCUGCCUGUCCGCGAAGAAUUCAUAUCCAUCCUCAACAACCUGAUGGGCACGACAGACAAGAUCCAUAUCGUUAUUCAUUAAGAAUUCUGACACUUUAUCUGACCCAAAGGUGUAUGAGACCCCUCGAUCGUUCAUUCCCCAGCCUUUAACAUCCCUACUAGGAUCAGACCAAAGUAAAUCACAAAGCAACCCAGAAUCUGGAACAUCAGUUGGACGGGGUAAGUUUCUAAUUUGAUCCAAACUUGUUAAAUCAGGGGAUAGCCCUCCGUGCAUACACAAUAUUUUGUCGUCUAUAAGAGCAGCAACAGGAAGACAGUUGAAACAUUCAGUAAAGUUUCUCCAAAGUUUCACAUUGAACCGACGUUUACAUUCAUCAUAAAAUCCAUAAAUUCGAUUAAUAGACGCAGACUCAUGAUUUCCUCUUAAAAGAAAGAAGUUCUCAGGGUACUUGAUUUUGUAGGCAAGCAAAAGGCAUAUUGUUUCCAAACUCUGCUUGCCACGGUCUACGUAAUCGCCCAGGAAUAAAUAAUUAGCACUAGGAGGAAAGCCCCCAUAUUCAAAAAGCCUCAAAAGAUCAGAAUAUUGCCCAUGAAUGUCACCACAGAUCUUGAUGGGGGCCUCGAGCUCGAGAAGAUUGGGCUGUUGAAGAAAGAUUUGUCCAGAUACAGAACAGAGUUGGCGGAUCUCAAUCUCAGUUAGCUGAACCUGCUGCUGUUUGGCUGCUCUUGUUUGCCUAAAAUCCAAUAAACGACUGAUAAUAUCGUCCAAGAUCGCAGAGUCGAUGGAGGGGUGGGCUUGGUGAGCCAUUGAAAGCGAUCUCAAUCUAUCUUAGAAAUUGAAGAAAUGACAGGAAGAACACAGGAUGUGGGUUUCCUCGAGUAUACUUUUUUCUUGAUUUUGAAUUGAGUUGUUGGUGGAGUGAGAGUGGAGGAGAGAAUGUGAGGGUGGUUUCUUUCUGUAUUUUUUGGCUUUGAGUGGCAUUAAAA